CAAGGUUGACCUCGGAUCAGGUAGGGAUACCCGCUGAACUUAAGCAUAUCA
rnacentral:rRNA from 2 species